rnacentral:sRNA from 2 species
AUACUGCUGUCAAUCUAUCUAUUGCUGCUAAUCUAUCUACCACUGCUAAUCUAUACUGCUGUCAAUCUAUCUACCACUGCUAAUCUAUUGCUGCUAAUCUAUCACUGCUAAUCUAUCACUGUCAAUCUAUCUACUGCUAUCAAUCUAUCUAUUGCUGCUAAUCUAUUGCUGCUAAUCUAUCACUGCUAAUCUAUUACUGUUAAUCUAUCUACUGCUGUCAAUCUAUCUAUCACUGCUAAUCUAUUUAUUACUGUCAAUCUAUCUACUACUGCUAAUCUAUUGCUGCUAAUCUAUCACUGCUAAUCUAUUACUGUUAAUCUAUCACUGUCAAUUUAUCUACCACUGCUAAUCUAUCACUUUUAAUCUAUCACUGUUAAUCUAUUUCUGUCAAUCUAUCUAUCACUGCUAAUCUAUCACUGCUAAUUGCCCCGGUGGCUGAAUGGGUAGUGCAGUCAUCAGAUAGCAUCUUGGUAUGGAGACUCAAGAUAUGUGGGUUUGAAAUCUGCAGAGAACAAUAUUACAUUCAGAGCCAACUUCUCAGCUUCUAAAAUAAAGAGAUGUGAACUUGUCAAGUAGAUAUCUUUGAGCAGAUCUACUAUCUGAUUUAGCUUAUUAUUUCUGAGCUGAAAAUCUGUAUUGCAUGUAUCAAAUCCUGUCUUUCAUUAAUUUUUCUAUAUUCUAGUUAUAUUCUUGAUAUCAUUCAACACUAAGCAUUCCUUCUGUAUAAUCAACUCUUGUCUGUAUUUAACAUUACAUAAGAACUUGUCAUAAGCACUGCUUGCAUAUAAGUAUAACAGAAGAAUAAUAAUAAUAAUAAUAAUAUCACUGCUAAUCUAUCACUGCUAAUCUAUUACUACUAAUCUAUUACUGUCAAUCUAUCUAUCACUGCUAAUCUAUCACCACUGUCAAUCUAUCUACUGCUGCCAAUCUAUCUAUCACUGCUAAUCUAUCGCUGCUAAUCUAUCGCUGCUAAUCUAUCGCUGCUAAUCUAUCGCUGCUAAUCUAUCGCUGCUAAUCUAUCGCUGCUAAUCUAUCGCUGCUAAUCUAUCGCCGCCAACCUACCUACCGCUGCCAACCUACCUACCGCUGCCAACCUAUCUAUCACUGCCAACCUAUAUAGGGUAAAUCAUGGUCCCAUUUGGUCCCAUUUUGUAAAAUGGGAUCAAAUGGGACCAGGAUCACUAAUUUAUUAGUAAAACAUGAUCUGGGACUAGAUUUAUAAUAUAAACAGUGUAAAGUGACUAAUUUGCUAAACACUAUAUGGGACCAGGACUAAGAUAUCUAAUAAUGGAACUGAGGAAAAAUUUGGUCCCAGUCCCAUGCAUGGUCACACAGCCAGUCUAUAGACAGAAUUAUUACAUUUUCAGAAGUGUAUACUUUUUUUGAUUUAGAUAUACUAUCAGAUAUGAUUCAA